rnacentral:rRNA from 1 species
UACAGAGGGUGCGAGCGUUGUUCGGAAUUAUUGGGCGUAAAGGGCGCGUAGGCGGUGCGGUAAGUCACCUGUGAAAUCUCCUGGCUCAACUGGGAGCUUGCAGGCGAAACUGCCGUGCUGGAGUGUGGGAGAGGUGCGUGGAAUUCCUGGUGUAGCGGUGAAAUGCGUAAUAUCAGGAGGAACACCUGUGGCGAAAGCGGCGCACUGGACCACAACUGACGCUGAGGCGCGAAAGCUAGGGGAGCAAACAGG